rnacentral:tRNA from 1 species
GGGCGAUUAGCUCAGUUAGUUAGAGCGCACCCCUGAUAAGGGUGAGGUCAUCCGUGCAACUCGGAUAUCGCCCA